GACGUAGGGCGCGAGCGUUGUCCGGAUUUAUUGGGCGUAAAGAGCUCGUAGGCGGCUUGUCGCGUCGUUCGUGAAAACCCGGGGCUCAACUCCGGGCUUGCGGGCGAUACGGGCAGGCUAGAGUUCGGUAGGGGAGACUGGAAUUCCUGGUGUAGCGGUGAAAUGCGCAGAUAUCAGGAAGAACACCCGUGGCGAAGGCGGCUCUCUGGGACGGUACUGACGCUGAGACGCGAAAGCGUGGGGAGCGAACAGG
rnacentral:rRNA from 1 species